UGCUUUGAUAUGACAAGAAUGUACACUGUCACUUUAACCUGACAUUCUGGAAGCUGUGGUAAACCUGCUGUGGAUGAGAGACAAGGAGCAACGUGCCCAGACUUGCAUUCAAGCUCUGGAAGCAAAUGCAUUCCCAUCCACAGCUCUACUAGUACAAAGGACAGGAAAUGGCUUUCCGAACAAUUCUCUGAGCAGCUGACAAUGGCAUUUUUGGCUUGUAGAAUGAAUACAGAAGGCUAUGGCGUCCCUGAACUGCUCUGGACAUAUGCUUUCAUGGGGAAAAAAAUGCAGCAAUUCUGUCUUCAUAUUUCGCUACUAAAAAAUCCCAGCAGAUGAAGAAGAUGGCUAGGACAGUAAUGAUGAAGAGCG